AAAGGAAUACCGAAAAAGUCUCGAAUGAAAGAAGCUGAAUGCAAUAUGUGGAAGAAAUAGGGCGGUAAAUAUUAUUUCGCUGAGUCAUGAGAGUACAUGUAGCUUCAUUGAAGCUUUAAUUCGCAUUACUUUUUUUUUAUAAAAUAGUUAUGAAAAUUUAAAAGUUCUAGUAUUUUUUAAGUUCUCCUGAAAAUUGCGAGCGAAGAGCGCGGAUUAUAAAUAUCGCGGCACUACAUUAGAAACCUAAAUGGAAUACUCGCAUAUGUAAAGAGCAAAUUUUUAUUAAAAAAAAUCUUUCCUUUAAGAAUAAGGCACUUUCGAGAGAACUGAAAGGCAAUUCCAGUAAUUGAUAUAUUAGGUAUUGGUGCUUAAUAAUAUUUUUAAUUAUUAAAUAUAUUUCUCAGUUCAAUAACUACGUGUCGAUUUUAGAUUUUAUCGGACUUAAAACGCAAUCGCAAACUGAUGCUGGUUAUUAAAUUAAUUUUAUCGUCAGGUUUAAUAAGAUGCUAUUUAAUUUAAGAUGCCACAAGUAUCUUUAAAAUCCCCGCAAAGAACUUAAUACGCUGAGGGAAAAUAUUUACUAAAUGUGAAUAUAUAUUUAUUAUAGUACAAAAACCACUAAUUUAAUUUAGUACCAUUUUUUCUUAUAGAGUAUUAAAUUUGUACACCAUAAAUAAAUAUUUCAUUAGCACUAUUUGAAUAAAUAUAAUUCAUUAAAAUUUAAGAAUUUUUUCUCUCAGUGAAAAUGUUAUUAAGCAUCAGGAUUCGCUUCGACCAAGAAAUAGCACUCUUACGUCUUGUAUUAAUCGCAGGAUCUAAUGUCCAAUUUAUUAUCAUAUAUAUGUACAUGUCGCCUGGAAAAGACUCUCUCUUGAAUUAACAUUGGUUAUUGGUAUAAGUAUUAUCAUUGCCUCUACGGUCGAAUUAGUCGAUGUAGUCGAAUUACACCCUCUCAUAGAAUAAAAGAGUUCCAGGCUUGAACCCUGAUAUUUCUUGUAAUCGAGUUCUUUACGGUACUUUUUAGAAUACUUACAGCAUCGUUAUUAAAUUUGACGAUCAAAUAUUUAAUAUUUUCACUUUCAAAAUUUUGAAACAUUAAAUAUUUACAACUAAAACAAAAGAAUUUCAUGUUUAUUCUAAACGAAAUGAAACUUUUGGUACUCCUACCCGGUUUGAUUAACUAAAGUAUUAUUAUAUUUAUAUUUAUUGCUCUUAAACUUCCAUCCUUCAACCUUUUACCAAAAAAAUGGACAGUCGCUCCAUCAUCUUUAAUCUGUAUAUACGUCUUGUUUUAUUCGUAACACCAUCUCAGGAUUAUUACAUAUCGGAGUUGUAGAGAUCGGGGAGGAUUAUAUUACAAGGAAACCCUCCAAAUUUCCACAAAUUUUUUAAAAUAAAUGUACAUAAUUUUCUCUCGUGUUUAAAAUAAAUUUACAUGUGUAAAACA